GGGGAUCUAGCUCAGUGGUAGAGCGCUUGCCUAGGAAGCGCAAGGCCCUGGGUUCGAUCCCCAGCUCCG
rnacentral:tRNA from 1 species